rnacentral:rRNA from 1 species
GACGUAGGGCGCAAGCGUUGUCCGGAUUUAUUGGGCGUAAAGAGCUCGUAGGCGGCCUGUCGCGUCGACCGUGAAAACCCGCAGCUCAACUGCGGGCUUGCGGUCGAUACGGGCAGACUAGAGGUAUGCAGGGGAGAACGGAAUUCCUGGUGUAGCGGUGAAAUGCGCAGAUAUCAGGAGGAACACCGGUGGCGAAGGCGGUUCUCUGGGCAUGAUCUGACGCUGAGGAGCGAAAGUGUGGGGAGCGAACAGG